CUGUUCUCGGGCCUGGAGUACACGCUGAGCUUCCUCACACACCAGCGCUUCCAGUUCAGUAGGUGGGUCCCCAUCUGGCGACGGCCUGCUGUCUCCCUGAAAUAACGCCCCUGCUUCAGGGAAGCAACCCCCAUCCCCAGGAAGCCUUGGCAGCCACUCUCGCCCUGGCCCUGCCCCGGGUGGCCCUGCCCCGGGUGCCCUGCACUAACACACCCACUCCCAGUCUGCAGCAGGGGAAGAUGUUUUUCCUCAUCGGCCUCACCAUGGCCACCAUCCAGGGUGCCUAUGCCCGGCGGAUCCACCCUGGCGGGGAAGUUGCUGCCGUGAAGCAGGCCCUCUUGCUGCUGGUGCCUGCCUUCCUCCUCAUCGGCUGGGGACGUUCUCUGCCCGUGCUGGGCCUGGGGCUGCUGCUCUACUCCUUUGCCGCCGCCGUUGUGGUGCCCUGCCUGUCCUCCGUGGUCGCUGGCUAUGGUGAGCGCCCCUCCCUCGGCCGAAGCCACCUAAGCGGGAGAAGGGCAGUGAUCCCUGACUGCGCCUCUUCCCACAGGCUCCCCAGGGCAGAAGGGCACGGUCAUGGGUACACUGCGCAGCCUAGGCGCUCUGGCCAGGGCCGCGGGGCCCCUGGUGGCUGCUUCAGUGUACUGGCUGGCCGGGGCCCAGGCCUGCUUCACCACGUGGUCCGGGCUCUUUUUGCUCCCCUUCUUCCUCCUGCAGAAGCUGAGUUAUCCGGCACAGACGCUCAAGGCUGAGUAGCUGAGCCACUGUGCCCAGGCUGUGGGCACCAGGCAGAGAGUGGGAGCCUAGGUCAGGCCCCUGCCCACUGCCUGACCCUCCGCUCCUUCCCAGUCCAGGGAGACCCUGUGGGUGGGGGCUAGCCCCUAAGCAGGAAGUUCAGGCAGCUCCUCCAGACUUACUCCUUGGAUGACUCCGAACUGCAGCACUCCAAGGCUGUCAAGGUUCUGUUUGUUUUUUUAAACUAUGCACCAGUUUCUGAUGAUGAAAUAAAGCACCUGUUUAUA
rnacentral:sRNA from 1 species